rnacentral:rRNA from 1 species
UACGGAGGGCGCAAGCGUUGUUCGGAAUCACUGGGCGUAAAGCGCGUGUAGGCGGCUUUGCAAGUCGGGUGUGAAAUCCCGAGGCUCAACCUCGGAACUGCACUCGAUACUGCUUGGCUCGAGUCCCGGAGAGGGUGGCGGAAUUCCCGGUGUAGGGGUGAAAUCCGUAGAUAUCGGGAGGAACACCAGUGGCGAAGGCGGCCACCUGGACGGUGACUGACGCUGAGACGCGAAAGCGUGGGGAGCAAACAGG